UACCAGUUUGAUUCUGACUGAAAACUUAGCUAUUUUGAACCAAUAUACAUGUAAGUCCAAGCACACCCGCAUAAAAUAAUAUAUCUAAAAGAAUAUAUAGUCACAUAGAGUCUUCUAAACGUGAUAGCGCGCCACAGUAAAUAAAACUAAAAAUUUGCUAAAGCAAGAAUUGGGCAUCAAAGAUAGAGUUGGCAAAAUUCGUGCCAGCUGCCGCGGUUAGACGACAAACUCAAGCUAAUUAAGACUCGACUAAACACAAGGUGUAUUAAAAAAUAAAUAAGGUCUAAUUUUCAUAAUCUCCGACUCAUAUACACCACUUAAAUUGUGAAAACAUAACUAAAAACACGGAUUAGAUACCCGUCUAUUUAUGUCAUAAAUAUAGUCGAAAAAUACGAACUAUUGUUUAAAAUUCAAAGACUUUGGCGGUGUCUUAUCAAACCAGGGGAACCUGUCCCAUAAUUCGAUAAUCCACGACCACCUCACCCCCUCUAGACUCCACAGCUUGUGUACUGCCGUCGUAAGCACACCUCUAAAAGUGUUUAAGUGUGCAAUCAUGAUCACCUCAUAUACGUCAGGUCAAAGUGCAGCUAAUGAGGGGGAGGAAGAUGGGUUACAUUCUUAACAAAGACACGAAUAAUAACUCCAACAGUUAUUUGAAGGUGGACUUGAUUGUAAUUCUAUCUAACUAGCAUGAAAUUGAAUCUAAGACAUGCACACAUCGCCCGUCACUCUCACCUAAAGGCGAGAUAAGUCGUAACAAAGUAGGUGUAACGGAAGUUGCACCUGUCGGAGU
rnacentral:rRNA from 1 species